UACAGAGGGUGCGAGCGUUGUCCGGAAUCACUGGGCGUAAAGGGCGCGUAGGCGGCCUGCUAAGUAGAGGGUGAAAUCCUGCGGCUCAACCGCAGGGCUGCCUUCUAAACUGUCAGGCUGGAGCACGGUAGAGGCAGAUGGAAUUCCCGGUGUAGCGGUGGAAUGCGUAGAGAUCGGGAAGAACACCAGUGGCGAAGGCGGUCUGCUGGGCCGUUGCUGACGCUGAGGCGCGGCAGCGUGGGGAGCAAACAGG
rnacentral:rRNA from 1 species